AGAGUUUGAUCCUGGCUCAGAACGAACGCUGGCGGCGUGCCUAACACAUGCAAGUCGAACGUGAAAGUCCUUCGGGAUGAGUAAAGUGGCGCACGGGUGAGUAAUGCGUAGAUAAUCUGCCUGGUGAUCUGGGAUAACAUCUCGAAAGGGGUGCUAAUACCGGAUAGGCCCACGGAGUCUUCGGACUUUGCGGGAAAAGGGGGGGACCUUCGGGCCUUCUGUCACCAGAUGAGUCUACGUACCAUUAGCUAGUUGGUGGGGUAAGAGCCCACCAAGGCUACGAUGGUUAGCUGGUCUGAGAGGAUGAUCAGCCACACUGGAACUGAGACACGGUCCAGACUCCUACGGGAGGCAGCAGUGGGGAAUUUUGCGCAAUGGGGGAAACCCUGACGCAGCAACGCCGCGUGAGUGAUGAAGGCCUUCGGGU
rnacentral:rRNA from 1 species